rnacentral:rRNA from 1 species
GUGGGGAAUUUUCCGCAAUGGGCGAAAGCCUGACGGAGCAAUACCGCGUGAGGGAAGACGGCCUAUGGGUUGUAAACCUCUUUUUUCAGGGAGGAAUCAAUGACGUGUACCUGAAGAAUAAGCAUCGGCUAACUCCGUGCCAGCAGCCGCGGUAAGACGGAGGAUGCAAGUGUUAUCCGGAAUCACUGGGCGUAAAGCGUCUGUAGGUGGUUUAAUAAGUCAACUGUUAAAUCUUGGGGCUCAACCUCAAAAUCGCAGUCGAAACUAUUAGACUAGAGUAUAGUAGGGGUAAAGGGAAUUUCCAGUGGAGCGGUGAAAUGCGUAGAGAUUGGAAAGAACACCGAUGGCGAAGGCACUUUACUGGGCUAUAACUGACACUCAGAGACGAAAGCUAGGGUAGCAAAUGGGAUUAGAAACCCCAGUAGUCC